GUGGAUUUGGACAUGGGCGAAAGCUGAUCCAUGCCAUGCCGCGUGCAGGAUGAAGGCCUUCGGGUUGUAAACUGCUUUUGUACGGAACGAAAAGCCUCUUUCUAAUAAAGAGGGGUCAUGACGGUACCGUAAGAAUAAGCACCGGCUAACUACGUGCCAGCAGCCGCGGUAAUACGUAGGGUGCAAGCGUUAAUCGGAAUUACUGGGCGUAAAGCGUGCGCAGGCGGUUUUGUAAGACAGAGGUGAAAUCCCCGGGCUCAACCUGGGAACUGCCUUUGUGACUGCAAGGCUGGAGUGCGGCAGAGGGGGAUGGAAUUCCGCGUGUAGCAGUGAAAUGCGUAGAUAUGCGGAGGAACACCGAUGGCGAAGGCAAUCCCCCGGGCCUGCACUGACGCUCAUGCACGAAAGCGUGGCGGAGCAAACAGGAUUCAGAUACCCUGGUAGUCCACGCCCUAAACGAUGUCAACUGGUUGUUGGGUCUUCACUGACUCAGUAACGAAGCUAACGCGUGAAGUUGACCGCCUGCGGAGUAC
rnacentral:rRNA from 1 species